UACGAAGGGGGCUAGCGUUGCUCGGAAUCACUGGGCGUAAAGGGUGCGUAGGCGGGUCUUUAAGUCAGGGGGGAAAUCCUGGAGCUCAACUCUAGAACUGCCUUUGAUACUGAGGAUCUUGAGUUCGGGAGAGGUGAGUGGAACUGCGAGUGUAGAGGUGAAAUUCGUAGAUAUUCGCAAGAACACCAGUGGCGAAGGCGGCUCACUGGCCCGAUACUGACGCUGAGGCACGAAAGCGUGGGGAGCAAAAGGG
rnacentral:rRNA from 1 species